rnacentral:rRNA from 1 species
ACAGAGGGGGCAAGCGUUAUUCGGAAUUAUUGGGCGUAAAGGGCGCGUAGGCGGCCUGGCAAGUGAAAGGUGAAAUCCCUCGGCUUAACCGAGGAACUGCCUUUCAGACUGCUUGGCUUGAGACCGGGAGAGGUGAGUGGAAUUCCCAGUGUAGCGGUGAAAUGCGUAGAUAUUGGGAGGAACACCAGUGGCGAAGGCGGCUCACUGGACCGGUACUGACGCUGAUGCGCGAAAGCGUGGGGAGCAAACGGGA